CAGAGCCCAGAAAUCAGGUUUCGACUCAUCUCAGACCCUAGAGUCCAGGAGGAGCAGUUCUCUGACCAGGAGAAGGGUCCCGUCUCUCCAAGCAGCGGAUUGCUGUGUGAAGAGACGGCUUUGCAGCCCGUUGUGGAGAAGUACUGCCCCUGAACAGGAUGGAAGGCCACGUCCCGCCCCACAGCGUCCACCACGUCGCUCCGCCCACAGUGGCCGCGCUGGCAGAGCUGCGACAGCACGCAGCGCUCCACGUGGCGCCGGCUCAGAGGCAGGAAGGGGACAAAACGAGUGAUGAGCUUCUGCUGGAUGAUGCUGGACUGGAAGAAGCCGCCUGUGGAGACAAACUCCUGUCAGGGUCACGGGGCUGCUGGAGCCUAUCCCGGCCACUUGUGGGCGAAGGCAGGGAACACCCUGGCCAGGUCUCCAGUCUGUCACAGUACCACUGAUCACACCCAUCCACUCUCACACUCACACCUAGGGACAAUUAAGAGUCACCAAUGAACCUAUGCAGCAUGUUUUUGGACGGUGGGAGGAAGCCGGAGACCCCGUGGAGAAC